CAAACUCGUUCUGCGGGCACAGGGAGCGGGAGGGUGGAUUCUCGGAGCCGCCUCCCAUGGAGACUCAGGUGCUCUCUCUGCAGCAGAGCCGCCAGGACGGGAGCUGACCAGCAUGGGGGCCACCGACUUCGUGCAGGAGAUGCGCUGGGUGGGUGAGAGGCUGCUGCUCAAGCGACCACGGCUUCCGCAGGCCGA